rnacentral:rRNA from 1 species
AUUGAACGCUGGCGGCAGGCCUAACACAUGCAAGUCGAGCGGAUGAAGGGAGCUUGCUCCUGGAUUCAGCGGCGGACGGGUGAGUAAUGCCUAGGAAUCUGCCUGGUAGUGGGGGAUAACGUCCGGAAACGGGCGCUAAUACCGCAUACGUCCUGAGGGAGAAAGUGGGGGAUCUUCGGACCUCACGCUAUCAGAUGAGCCUAGGUCGGAUUAGCUAGUUGGUGGGGUAAAGGCCUACCAAGGCGACGAUCCGUAACUGGUCUGAGAGGAUGAUCAGUCACACUGGAACUGAGACACGGUCCCGGCUACUACGGGAGGCAGCAGUGGGGAAUAUUGGACAGUGGGCGAGAGCCUGAUCCAGCCAUGCCGCGUGUGUGAAGAAGGUCUUCGGAUUGUAAAGCACUUUUAGUUGGGAGGAAGGGCAGUAAGUUAAUACCUUGCUGUUUUGACGUUACCAACAGAAUAAGCACCGGCUAACUACGUG